AUUGAACGCUGGCGGUAUGCUUAACACAUGCAAGUCGAACGAUGAGAAAGAGCUUGCUCUUUCGAUUAGUGGCGGACGGGUGCGUAACGCGUAGGAAUCUACCUAUUAGUGGGGGACAACCUAGGGAAACUUAAGCUAAUACCGCAUACGCCCUACGGGGGAAAGAAGGGGAUCGCAAGACCUUUUGCUAAUAGAUGAGCCUGCGUAGGAUUAGCUAGUUGGUGGGGUAAAAGCUCACCAAGGCGACGAUCCUUAACUGGUUUGGGGGAAUGAUCAGUCACACUGGAACUGACACACGUUCCAGACUCCUAGGGGAGGCAGCAGUGGGGAAUAUUGGACAAUGGGCGAAAGCCUGAUCCAGCAAUACCGCGUGUGUGAAGAAGGCCUUAGGGUUGUAAAGCACUUUCAAUUGGAAGGAAAACCUCGAGGCUAAUACCUUCGAGUUUGACAUUACCUUUAGAAGAAGCACCGGCUAACUCCGUGCCAGCCGCCGCGGUAA
rnacentral:rRNA from 1 species